UCUCCACCACUCAUACUCACCUUAUUUCUCCAUGAGUUCCUUAGCUUCCAGUGAGCUCAUGCUCAGGUCUUCCUUAUCCUUCCACUCCAACAGCCACAUAUCAUCCCCAAAAGUUCUCACUGCUGUGCUUGAAGUUACAUUUUAUUUCCACUGCCUAGAUAUUCUUCUUCCUAGCUCCCCCUCAAGAGUGGUUUAAGAAUCAGGCCAACAUCAUCCAAAAUGCAGUCCUUGAGCACCCUUCCUCAUUUAGUUCACUCUUCUGCAAACACUCCCUCAAUUCAUGUGGUCACUUUGUUCAAUAAUAAUAGAUAGUUUAUCUGCACAUUUCUAGUUUGGCAAAUAUUCUGCCACCCUAAAUGGAUUGUGAGGUCCUUAGGAGUAAAAGCCCCAUUUUCUAAUUAUUUUAUAUUGUCCAAAGCAUCAAUUGUUCUGUCCAUGGCAGGUUCUGUAAACGCUGAUUAAAUGACCUACCAUGGGAAAUACAGAAAAGAGGAACACUUUUUCAUAACAGGCAAUAUUUCAGGAUUAUAGAUAAUGCCUUGUGGGACAGAUGACCCCUACACCCUCUCUAAGUUAUUUUAGUCCCACAGAGCCUAUAUCUACAACUUCUCCAUGAAUAAAAAAUGCGGUCAAAGUUACAGUGGAACCCAGGUUUGGGCCUUGCAAAGGGGUCAUUACAAUUUUUUUCUAUUGAGAUUAACCAAACAGACUGAAUCCUGAUAAUACCACCAAUUUAGAUUCUACCAGUUCUAGAAAAAUUGAAUAUUCUAUCCUAAUAACUACUGCUUUUUACUUUAUGGAAAAAGGAAAGUUUUCUUUUAUAGUUUUUUUCCCCCUGCUUAUCUUUGUUUGUCUUAUUAAAAGCCUUUUGAAUCUAGAUUCUACAGGGUAUUUAUUCUUGAAGCUGGGGCUGUACUGCAUUAUUGAUGGAACAUUCCAUUGUGAAUUCUAAUACUCCUAGAAAGUACUGCACAACAAAUCCGUUUCUGCCAAGAUAAAUAUAGGAGAUUUAGAACUAUACAAGAGGGAUGGACAGUUCUUGACACUCACCACUGCUUCUCAAAACUGCAUAAAAUAUAAUUGAUAUACAAGAAAAUACAUUUUCCACCUCCACCCCUUCUUUUAAUUAUUAACUUUCCUAUUGUCCUGUUAAAUAUAGUAUUUACUAGUUUACACAAAAGAAAUAUAACUUUUGCAAGCCUUACCUCAGAGUGGCAACCAGCCAUCCCAGUUUAAUAGACAACAUAUUUUUCUACUUGAUAUUCCCCAAAUACAUUGAACUGCAGUGUGUUUGCUUUUUCUUUUUAAAUUAAAUCAUUAUCUUUUUCUUACAUCUUUUAAAAAUACUUGCUGGAUAAACUUCGAAAUUUUACAACAAUACCCCUGAGACAGUUUUAGAGAAGUCCUUUGAUUAUUCUAACUUAACAUCAGUGUCAUGGAAAACAGAAUUAUAUAUCGAAGUGUCCUCUCAUAUUCAGAACAACAUCCAAUACUCUUCAAAGAAGGGAAUGUUCAUGAUUAUAUACAUAUAUAUUUAUUGACUAUGUUGUUCAACUCCUUAUUUCAAGGAGAGUCAAUAACUUUCUUUCUUGAUAAAAACUACCGUGUGAGCUGGACACGGUGGUUCGCAUUUGUAAUCCCAGCACUCUGGGAGGCUGAGGUGGGCUGAUUGCUUGAGCUGAGGAGCUCAAGACCAGCCAGGACAACAUGGUGAAACCCUGACUCUACUUAAAAUACAAAAAUUAGCCAGUCUUGGUGGUGUGUGCUUGCUGUCCCAGCUACUCGAGAGACUAAGGUGGGAGGAUCACUGGAGCCUGGGAGGCUGAGGCUGCAGUGAGCUGAGAUCACACCGCUGUACUCCAGCCCAGGUGAUCAGGUGACAGAGCGAGACCCUGCCCCAAACAAACAAACAAACAAACAAAACAAAAAAACUACCAUGUGCAUUAUUACUAAGCCAAGAUUUCACAAGGCUUUUGAAAAUUUCAAAUGACUUAAAUGUUUACAAGUACCAAAAACUUUUUGAUAUUUUAAAAUAAGCUUUUUCCUUUUUAAUCACCAUGCAGCAUGCUGUGCCAUCAUGAUGAGAGCCUGAUGGCUAAUGUGAAAUAACGUUGGCAUGUCAUUUAAAAGGUUAACAAACAUGAAAAAUGGGAAAUUUAAUAUUGUUUAAUACAAAUAAAACUGUUUUUGAAAGAAAGACAUCUGGGUUGAGGGUGGCUUGCUUGAAAACUUCUCCUAUCAUCUCUGAAUAAUUAUUUUGCUCCUCCUGACUUUACUCAAGGCGCCUAAUCCUGAGGCAAAGGACUUUAUACAGUGAUUCAGGAGGUUUGAGAAAGCAGGACUCAUGAGACUAAAAAGUAGGAAAUUACUAUCCUGCCAGCAAUGGAACACCUCUUUGGCUACAACCUCACCUAAAACUUGAUUGAAUCAGAAAAUUAGUUGAACUUUCCAAACCAGUCUCCUGCUAUUUUAAUUCAUAGCAUGCAGCUGGGGCUUUCAAAAGCAGGUGCUACGUAUAUACAGAGAGAAAUACAUACCUUUGGUUGCCUCUCAAAAUCCGUUAUGCUAAACUCACCAAAUACGUUACAUGUUAAAUGUUUUAUUCCUUGUGUUUCCAGAUCUCCAGUUAUCAAUUUGCUAUCUAUCCUCCUACCAAACAUGAUUUAACCAAUUCAUACCCUGAUUGGUAUUACAAUUCUUGUAAAUAAAAUAACCCUUUUCUCCCUCUUUAUUUUUACCAGGUAUAACCUCUUUGAUUGCAAAGAAACAUAAAUACAAUAUUUUAACACUCUUUUGACAUAAGCAUUCGCUUUCUUACAUAAGCAGUAAUACUUUUGUACUCCACCAGAACACUAAAGAAGCUAAAUGGCAAGAAUUAGUAUUUCUGUAAAAUCUGUAGAAAUUUUAAUGAAAUGGGACAGGUUUCUAAAAAAAAAAAAAAAUGCCAAGAAAGGAAAAGGUUGACUCCUUACUUUUAUAUUUCGAGUUUUCUAUUUUGUAUCAAUAUAUGCUGCAUUUUCUGAUUGAAAUUGCUGUUCUGUCUAAUGAAAUUUGUGAUUUUCUGUAGUUGCUUUUUACAUUUGAAAGCAAACUUUCAUACUGUGUGUGCUUAACUGUACCCUUUCUGUUAGGGAUUAAUUAAAAUACUCUGUUUCAUUAAUUCCUUUUUAUGUGCUAAAUGUAUGUGACAUUUAUGGCUUUGUUAUCUCAAAAGCUAUCUGUGGACAAAAUUCAUGAAGCCUGUAGACUGUGAUUUAUACACAUGAAAGAAAAAAAUCAAUUUCCUUCUAAGCAGUGAAUCAGUGAAUAAGAAACUGUUCAGUGGCCUCUGAUUCCUGACCCUUUAUCCUUCAUGGCCUUUUUUCUAUUCUUAACCAUUCCUUGAGUAAUUGUGUGUUCUUGUAAAAUGCAAAAUCAACUUACAUGCAAUCAGGUAUGGACACAAGAAAUGCUUGUGCUCUCGAUUUCAGGACUCACAGAUACCGUAACAGUCACAGGACUGUAGUUCUCAGUAUUUUUGUUAAUAAUGUGGCUUUGCUAUAAAAUAAGUUAGUGUUUCCUUUGCUUUGUUACUAUAAGAUUUUAAAUGUUGCAGCAAAUGAAAGAAUGAAAACACAUUUGAAAGCUGGUGUCAAAAAUCAUCAGCUGUACUUACAAAAGUUGUUGUGCAGCUUCUGAAAUGUAGUUUAUUGCUGUAAAUAUGUACAAUUUAUGUUAGCUCGUUUAUUCUGAAAAUACUAAUAAAACUUUUUUAAAAUUA